UUGAAACAAGGAGGUAGUGACAAUAAAUAACAAUGCCGGGCCUUUGUAGGUCUGGCAAUUGGAAUGAGAACAAUUUAAAUCCCUUAUCGAGGAUCAAUUGGAGGGCAAGUCUGGUGCCAGCAGCCGCGGUAAUUCCAGCUCCAAUAGCGUAUAUUAAAGUUGUUGCAGUUAAAAAGCUCGUAGUUGGACUUGUGCGCGUCCCUGAUGUCCUUUUUGGUACGUUUGGGGAUGUGCAUCCUUGGGUGGAACCUGUGUGGCAUUAGGUUGUUGUGCAGGGGAUGCUCAUCGUUUACUGUGAAAAAAUUAGAGUGUUCAAAGCAGGCUUACGCCGUUGAAUAUAUUAGCAUGGAAUAAUAAGAUAGGACCUUGGUACUAUUUUGUUGGUUUGCGCACCGAGGUAAUGAUUAACAGGGACGGUUGGGGGUAUUCGUAUUCCAUUGUCAGAGGUGAAAUUCUUGGAUUUUUGGAAGACGAACUACUGCGAAAGCAUUUACCAAGGAUGUUUUCAUUAAUCA
rnacentral:rRNA from 1 species